GAACAUAUCUCAACUGGGACAGCGCAUCGCUUGCAACGAUAAGGACAGGAGUGCGAUUCCCCUUGGCCACCA
rnacentral:tRNA from 1 species